AGAGCGUAUGGUGGAUGCCUUGGCACUAAGAGCCGAUGAAAGACGUGAUAAGCUGCGAAAAGCUUCGGGGAGGAGCAAAUAUCCAUUGAUCCGGAGAUCUCUGAAUGGGGAAACCUACUUGAGAAAACCUCAAGUAUCCACAGCCCAAUCCAUAAGCUGUGGAAGGGAACCCGGUGAACUGAAACAUCUAAGUAGCCGGAGGAAGAGAAAACAACAUGUGAUUCCGUAAGUAGCGGCGAGCGAACGCGGAAGAGCCCAAACCGGAGUGCGUGCACUCCGGGGUUCGGACUGCAGAAUUGACGAGUGAGCCUAGUAGAAUGGUUUUGGGAAAGCCAGCCAGAGAGGGUGAAAGCCCCGUACACGAAAGGCAAGCAAGCAUGGCAGGAUCCAGAGUACCACGAGACACGUGAAACCUUGUGGGAACGCGCGGGGACCACCCCGUAAGGCUAAAUACUCCUUAGUGACCGAUAGCGCAUAGUACUGUGAAGGAAAGGUGAAAAGGACCCCGGGAGGGGAGUGAAAGAGAACCUGAAACCAUAUGUUUACAAGCUGUGGAACAUCUUUAUAUGAUGAACCGCGUACUUUUUGUAGAACGGUCCGGCGAGUUACGCUGGCUGGCGAGGUUAAGGGCUGAAGGCCUGGAGCCGAAGGGAAACCAAGUCUGAACAGGGCGAAAUAGUCAGUCGGAGUAGACCCGAAACCGGGUGAUCUAUCCAUGUCCAGGUUGAAGUUGCCGUAAAAGGCAAUGGAGGACCGAACCCACAUCCGUUGAAAAGGGUGGGGAUGAGGUGUGGAUAGGGGAGAAAUUCCAAUCGAACCCGGAGAUAGCUGGUUCUCCUCGAAAUAGCUUUAGGGCUAGCCUCAUACGAGUCUUGCGGAGGUAGAGCACUGAAUUCCUAAGGGGGCGUCAAAGCUUACCAAGGGAUAUCAAACUCCGAAUGCCGUGUAGAUGGUGCAUGGGAGUCAGACUAUCCGAGAUAAGUUGGGUAGUCAAAAGGGAAAGAGCCCAGACCUACAGCUAAGGUCCCAAAAUGUGUGUUAAGUGGAAAAGGAUGUGGGAUUUCGAAGACAACUAGGAUGUUGGCUCAGAAGCAGCCAUACAUUCAAAGAGUGCGUAAUAGCUCACUAGUCGAGAGGUCCUGCGCCGAAAAUGUCCGGGGCUGAAACACACUACCGAAGCUUAGGAAUUGAUGAAUGUCAAUUGGUAGAGGAGCAUUCUUAACGGGGCGAAGCUGUACCGGAAGGAGCAGUGGACUGUUAAGAAGAGAGAAUGCCGGAAUGAGUAGCGAGAGGAAGGUGAGAAUCCUUCCGGCCGAAUAUCUAAGGUUUCCAGAGUAAAGCUGAUCUGCUCUGGGUAAGUCGGGGCCUAAGGCGAGGUCGAAAGACGUAGUCGAUGGAUAACAGGUAAAAAUUCCUGUACUAUAUCAUAACAGAACUGUGGGGACGCAGACAGAGAGCAUAAGCCGGGAAUGGAAAAACCGGUACAAGCGAGGUAGGAGUGCAUCAGGCAAAUCCGGUGCACAAUCUGAAGACGUGAUGUGGGGCGUAAAGCCGGAAGUAUGUGAGCUGGCUGCCAAGAAAAGCCGCUAUUGUUUAUGAUAUACCCGUACCGUAAACCGACACAGGUGGAUGAGGAGAGAAUCCUAAGGCCGACGGGAGAAGCAUUGUUAAGGAACUCGGCAAAAUGACUCCGUAACUUCGGGAGAAGGAGUGCCAGUGAGAGCUGGCCGCAGAGAAUUGGCCCAAGCAACUGUUUAGCAAAAACACAGGUCUAUGCAAAACCGAAAGGUGAGGUAUAUGGGCUGACGCCUGCCCGGUGCUGGAAGGUUAAGGGGAGAGGUUAGCCGUAAGGCGAAGCUUUGAACUUAAGCCCCAGUAAACGGCGGCCGUAACUAUAACGGUCCUAAGGUAGCGAAAUUCCUUGUCGGGUAAGUUCCGACCCGCACGAAAGGCGUAAUGAUUUGGGCACUGUCUCGACAAUGCACCCGGUGAAAUUGAAAUACCAGUGAAGAUGCUGGUUACCUGCGCCAGGACGGAAAGACCCCAUGGAGCUUUACUCCAGCUUGAUACUGGGAUUCGGUAUUGCAUGUACAGGAUAGGUGGGAGACUGAGAAGUAUUUACGCCAGUAGAUACAGAGUCGCUGUUGGGAUACCACCCUUGCAGUACUGGGUUUCUAACCAGCAGCCGUGACCCGGCUGGGGGACAAUGUCAGGUGGGGAGUUUGACUGGGGCGGUCGCCUCCGAAAGGGUAUCGGAGGCGCUCAAAGGU
rnacentral:rRNA from 1 species